rnacentral:rRNA from 1 species
GGGUUGUGAGGUUAAGCGACUAAGCGUACACGGUGGAUGCCCUGGCAGUCAGAGGCGAUGAAGGGCGUGCUAAUCUGCGAUAAGCGCCGGUAAGGUGAUAUGAACCGUUAUAACCGGCGAUACCCGAAUGGGGAAACCCAGUGUGACUCGUCACACUAUCAUUAACUGAAUCCAUAGGUUAAUGAGGCGAACCGGGGGAACUGAAACAUCUAAGUACCCCGAGGAAAAGAAAUCAACCGAGAUUCCCCCAGUAGCGGCGAGCGAACGGGGAGGAGCCCAGAGCCUGAAUCAGCAUGUGUGUUAGUGGAAGCGUCUGGAAAGGCGCGCGAUACAGGGUGACAGCCCCGUACACAAAAGCGCAUGUGCUGUGAGCUCGAUGAGUAGGGCGGGACACGUGGUAUCCUGUCUGAAUAUGGGGGGACCAUCCUCCAAGGCUAAAUACUCCUGACUGACCGAUAGUGAACCAGUACCGUGAGGGAAAGGCGAAAAGAACCCCGGCGAGGGGAGUGAAAAAGAACCUGAAACCGUGUACGUACAAGCAGUGGGAGCACCCUUCGGGGUGUGACUGCGUACCUUUUGUAUAAUGGGUCAGCGACUUAUAUUCUGUAGCAAGGUUAACCGAAUAGGGGAGCCGGAGGGAAACCGAGUCUUAAUUGGGCGUUAAGUUGCAGGGUAUAGACCCGAAACCCGGUGAUCUAGCCAUGGGCAGGUUGAAGGUUGGGUAACACUAACUGGAGGACCGAACCGACUAAUGUUGAAAAAUUAGCGGAUGACCUGUGGCUGGGGGUGAAAGGCCAAUCAAACCGGGAGAUAGCUGGUUCUCCCCGAAAGCUAUUUAGGUAGCGCCUCGUGAAUUCAUCUCCGGGGGUAGAGCACUGUUUCGGCUAGGGGGCCAUCCCGGCUUACCAACCCGAUGCAAACUGCGAAUACCGGAGAAUGUUAUCACGGGAGACACACGGCGGGUGCUAACGUCCGUCGUGAAGAGGGAAACAACCCAGACCGCCAGCUAAGGUCCCAAAGUCAUGGUUAAGUGGGAAACGAUGUGGGAAGGCCCAGACAGCCAGGAUGUUGGCUUAGAAGCAGCCAUCAUUUAAAGAAAGCGUAAUAGCUCACUGGUCGAGUCGGCCUGCGCGGAAGAUGUAACGGGGCUAAACCAUGCACCGAAGCUGCGGCAGCGACACUGUGUGUUGUUGGGUAGGGGAGCGUUCUGUAAGCCUGUGAAGGUGGCCUGUGAGGGUUGCUGGAGGUAUCAGAAGUGCGAAUGCUGACAUAAGUAACGAUAAAGCGGGUGAAAAGCCCGCUCGCCGGAAGACCAAGGGUUCCUGUCCAACGUUAAUCGGGGCAGGGUGAGUCGACCCCUAAGGCGAGGCCGAAAGGCGUAGUCGAUGGGAAACGGGUUAAUAUUCCCGUACUUGGUGUUACUGCGAAGGGGGGACGGAGAAGGCUAUGUUGGCCGGGCGACGGUUGUCCCGGUUUAAGCGUGUAGGUGUGUGUUCCAGGUAAAUCCGGUUCACUUUAACACUGAGGCGUGACGACGAGGCACUACGGUGCUGAAGCAACAAAUGCCCUGCUUCCAGGAAAAGCCUCUAAGCAUCAGGUAACAUCAAAUCGUACCCCAAACCGACACAGGUGGUCAGGUAGAGAAUACCAAGGCGCUUGAGAGAACUCGGGUGAAGGAACUAGGCAAAAUGGUGCCGUAACUUCGGGAGAAGGCACGCUGACACGUAGGUGAAGUGAUUUACUCAUGGAGCUGAAGUCAGUCGAAGAUACCAGCUGGCUGCAACUGUUUAUUAAAAACACAGCACUGUGCAAACACGAAAGUGGACGUAUACGGUGUGACGCCUGCCCGGUGCCGGAAGGUUAAUUGAUGGGGUCAGCGCAAGCGAAGCUCCUGAUCGAAGCCCCGGUAAACGGCGGCCGUAACUAUAACGGUCCUAAGGUAGCGAAAUUCCUUGUCGGGUAAGUUCCGACCUGCACGAAUGGCGUAAUGAUGGCCAGGCUGUCUCCACCCGAGACUCAGUGAAAUUGAACUCGCUGUGAAGAUGCAGUGUACCCGCGGCAAGACGGAAAGACCCCGUGAACCUUUACUAUAGCUUGACACUGAACAUUGAGCCUUGAUGUGUAGGAUAGGUGGGAGGCUUUGAAGUGUGGACGCCAGUCUGCAUGGAGCCGACCUUGAAAUACCACCCUUUAAUGUUUGAUGUUCUAACGUGGACCCGUAAUCCGGGUUGCGGACAGUGUCUGGUGGGUAGUUUGACUGGGGCGGUCUCCUCCUAAAGAGUAACGGAGGAGCACGAAGGUUGGCUAAUCCUGGUCGGACAUCAGGAGGUUAGUGCAAUGGCAUAAGCCAGCUUGACUGCGAGCGUGACGGCGCGAGCAGGUGCGAAAGCAGGUCAUAGUGAUCCGGUGGUUCUGAAUGGAAGGGCCAUCGCUCAACGGAUAAAAGGUACUCCGGGGAUAACAGGCUGAUACCGCCCAAGAGUUCAUAUCGACGGCGGUGUUUGGCACCUCGAUGUCGGCUCAUCACAUCCUGGGGCUGAAGUAGGUCCCAAGGGUAUGGCUGUUCGCCAUUUAAAGUGGUACGCGAGCUGGGUUUAGAACGUCGUGAGACAGUUCGGUCCCUAUCUGCCGUGGGCGCUGGAGAACUGAGGGGGGCUGCUCCUAGUACGAGAGGACCGGAGUGGACGCAUCACUGGUGUUCGGGUUGUCAUGCCAAUGGCACUGCCCGGUAGCUAAAUGCGGAAGAGAUAAGUGCUGAAAGCAUCUAAGCACGAAACUUGCCCCGAGAUGAGUUCUCCCUGAGACUUAGAGUCUCCUGAAGGAACGUUGAAGACGACGACGUUGAUAGGCCGGGUGUGUAAGCGCAGCGAUGCGUUGAGCUAACCGGUACUAAUGAACCGUGAGGCUUAACCUUACAACGCCGAAG